GCAGUCAUUAAAGAAUGUUAGCCAGGUGCAGUGGUGCACGCCUUUAAUCCCAGCACUUUGGGAGGUGGAGGUGGGUGGAUCGCCUGAGGUCAGGAGUUUGAGACCAACCUAGCCAACAUUGUGAAACCCUGUCUCUACGAAAACUACAAAAAUUAGCCAGGUGUGGUGGCACGCAUGCCUGUAAUCCCAGCUACUUGGGAGGCUGAGGCAGGAGAAUCGCUUGAACCCGGGAGGCAGAGGUUGUAGUGAGCCGAGAUCACACCACUGCACUCCAGCCUGGGCGAUAGAGUGAGACUCCGUCUCAAAAAAAAAAAAAAGAAUGUCAACUGCUCCUGGCUCUGCAGAGGUAUGGCCCAGGUGACAGGGCUAUUGAGAGGCCAAAGGGACCCUGAUCAGCCAGUGGUGUCUUUGGAAUAGGUGCUGCAAGCUCUGGGAGGUGCUACUGCGCACCAGAAGGUUGGUGAGUUGGCCAAGGGUGUGGAGCUGGCUCCAGAGGGGAAGGAACAAAGGGAAGGGACCCUCUGGGAGCUGGAGAGACUUGGGAGCCUGGAGGCAGGAAUUCCCUGCCAUUGCCUGAGGCCUGGUUUGGAAAGUACAAUGCAGUUUUGGCAUGGUGGUUGCUGGCCUGGAAUGUGGUGGGGUGAAGAGCGUGGUGGAAGGACACACUGAGUUCCUGACCAUCCAGCAACAAAGGAGCAAAAAGACCUUGGAAUCCAUGAGAAGAUGGAGUCUCACCCUGUCGCCAGAGCUGGAGUGCAAUAGAGCGAUCUCGGCUCACUGCAACCUCCACCUCCCGGGUUCCACCAAUUCUCCUGCCUCAGCCUCC
rnacentral:lncRNA from 10 species